rnacentral:rRNA from 1 species
ACGCUCGACACCUACGGGGAGGCAGCAGGUGGGGAAUAUUGCACAAGUGGGGGAAACCCUGAUGCAGCGACGCCGCGUGAAGGAAGAAGUAUCUCGGUAUGUAAACUUCUAUCAGCAGGGAAAGAAAAUGACGGUACCUGACUAAGAAGCCCCGGCUAACUACGUGCCAGAAGCCGCGGUAAUCUGAGCGGGCUGCAAGGC